rnacentral:rRNA from 1 species
AAGGGUUUUGAAGACUCAGGUUUAGCCAAUCCCAUAAAUUUGUUCUCAGUUCGGAUCGCAGUCUGCAACUCGCCUGCAUGAAGCUGGAAUCGCUAGUAAUCGCGGAUCAGCAUGCCGCGGUGAAUACGUUCCCGGGCCUUGUACACACCGCCCGUCACACCACGAGAGUUUGCAACACCCGAAGUCGGUGAGGUAACCUUUAUGGAGCCAGCCGCCGAAGGUGGGCAGAUGAUUGGGGUGG